ensembl:lncRNA
CCCUUCCGCCGCGCGGCCGCCAUUUCGCGCAGCAGCGCCCUCUGCUGCCUCGGCGCCCCGGGGCGGCCGGCAGCCCCGCUCGAAGCUCGUGCUGAAGCUGCUAAAUCCGGAGAAACUCUCCCGUUUUUCGUGUUUAAGAAACUAUCAGGGUUGAUCUUAGCAUUACAAAAGGGGGUGGAAUAAUUUCUUCCCCAUAAAGGCUCUUCGAUAAACUGCUAAUGCCUCAUGAUGCCACAGCAGCCCAGAGACCGCAGUGCCCCUGGGCACUUCUCCACCUGCCUUGUCCCCAGUUUUAAACCAUUUCCUACACUGCCAAACACCAAUAUUUCUUACCGAGUAUGCCCAAAACAGCAUCGCUGUCAGCUGCUAAUAUUUCCCUCCGUGGCAAUGCUUGGGACACAGUGAUGUUGCUCCUGAGGGCUGGUGGCCUGAGCCGUGGGGACAGCAUCCACACAGUUCUGCCAGUGAUCCCACAGCAGAGAACAAGCAGUAAGGGCAGGUUUCACAUUUAGAAUGAAACUGAAGAUAAUGGCAUGAUUCAUUGGAAAUGAGACUUCAUAUAGAACUGUUUCUUCAGUACAAUUUUACUUCCUGCUGAGAUAUUUGAUGGCAGACAGAAAGCCUAUGGCUGGGUUUCACAAGAAUGAAAAAUGAGAAGUCAGCCUGGAUUCCAGUUUUUGUGUAGAAACAGAGGUUAUUUUCCCCAAGUCUGUCUAGCCUUGUACUGUUUUAUCAAUACUACUGGAGGGUUAGUUGCACCAAAUCAAAGAAGAACAAAGCUGGACAGCAUCAGAAUUACAAUUACCCAAGAGGUACUUGCUCAGAUUUCCUUGCAGCCUGAAUGCAUUCAAGACAAAAUGUCACUUCGGUAAUAGAACUGAAGAGUCAAGAAGACCCAUCUGAAAGAGGUUGGUUGUUUUCUUAUUUUGUUGAUGAUAUCCAGGUGUUAAAUGCACAAUGAGACAGUAAGUAGGUCUGAAAUAAUGCUCUAUGCUCAUUCUGGGAGCAUGCAACUCUACAUGGACCAAAGCACGCUAUUGGCCAGGGUUUAAAAAGGGAGAUGAUGCCAGGUCAGCCUAUGUCCAGAGUAAUGAUACUUGGAUACCCAGAAUGAUGACAGGACAGGGUAUGGCAUGGGAAGGUGGCUGUCAGGCUGCAGAAACGGUGCUCAGCAUGGAUGUGACUAUGUAAAUAGUAAAACUCUGUCAUAUACUAUGCAGCAUUACUGGCACUUCAAAGAAAACCACAUCCUAUUGUUACUUCACCAGUGCCUACAAACUGCUGAAUUAUUUCCUAUGAGUUGUUACUUUUACUAUUCAAGAUGAAACAACUGUUUGUAUCCAGGUUUCCCAGUGUGCCUUACAGUGACUUUUAAUGUAGGUUUUUCAGCAUUUGAAAAGAUGUGAAUGUUUUGCUUUUGGUAAAGUAACCAACAAUAGCAAAAAUACUGUUUCUGUAAAAGCAAAUUAUACAGGUUUUGAGGCAUCAACUCACAAGAUUUAAUACGGUAUGAAUACAUCCUAUGAAACCUUGAUAGCUUUGUACUAUCCUUAAAGUUUAAGUAAGUGAUUAAUCGCAAAACAACAGGGUUUAGAAACAAAAGACCAUCUGUCUCAAACAGAUGACUUCUUUGUAACCUUAACGGUACUGAAAAUAGAUAAAAUAGAUGCAAGUUUAUCAGUAACCAGUUUGAAGGGAACAGGCUUCACAGAAUAAUG